GGUACUCUGGCCGAGUGGUCUAAGGCGCCAGGGUAAGGUUUCCUGGUCUCUUCGGAGGCACGAGUUCGAACCUCGUGGGUAUCA
rnacentral:tRNA from 1 species